UCAUCUUCACCCAAGGUAAUUGCAAACCAGGCUGGGUAUGGUUCCAAGGCCAGUGCUAUUAUUUCUCGCAGGACAAGGUGGACUUCCCCACUGCGCAACGCAAGUGCAGGGUAUUUAAUGCCCGCCUUGGCCUCAUCAACACGCAAGCCAAGAACGAUUUUGUUGCGGAGUACAUGGCCGACAACUGGUCUAACUUUACUGGUGGUGGAUUUUGGAUUGGCCUGUACCGGGCAACAAGCAAGUCUGCUUUUAGAUGGGACUUCCUCGGCCUACCAGUCAACUAUACCAAAUUUUCAUGUGGCUAUUCGCCUGCUCACAACUGUAUGCGGAUCCGGAUAUCUACAACAGACACUUACUCAGGCCAUUGGUCCAGUUAUCCAUGCACCACGGCAUCACCCUACAUCUGCUCCAAGACCCCAAGCUCAAUCUCCGAGCCGCAUAGGUGGCAGCGCUGUGCUACAGUGGCCGCUGUGGAGUAUUCGGUGGUUUCAUCUAAAAAGCGCAAUUUUGAAGCACACGAGCAUUGCCAGAGAUCUUCACAGUUAGGGGAACUCGCCUGGCCCGAGAAUCAAGCUGAAAAUGAUUGCCUCGAAAGUCUUUACCCGUCAACUUCAAUCUGGCUGGGAAUCUCUCGUGAAGAAAACAAAUGGCUAUCUCCUCAUGGACCAGUAACUUGGUUUAACUUUGCACCAAAUGCACCUAGCCACAAUGCUAAUUGUGUAAAAAUGUUCAAUGCUGUUCAUUUAGGCAAGUGGGAUGACCUGGCUUGUAAUCAAGCAUUGCAUUUUGUUUGUCAAAGAGCUCGAUGUCAAGUUGUAGCACCUGUUUCUGGUAGCGUGAGCAAUACCGGCUUCAUCUCCUCUGGUGAAAGUGUGCGGUAUCAAUGCAAUACUGGAUUUGAACUGGUUGGCCAAGCCACUGCUAACUGCACUGCUCAAGCAUCGCUAA